UACGUAGGGGGCUAGCGUUGUCCGGAAUCAUUGGGCGUAAAGAGCGUGUAGGCGGUCCGGUAAGUCCGCUGUGAAAGUCGGGGGCUCAACCCUCGAAUGCCGGUGGAUACUGUCGGGCUAGAGUGCGGAAGAGGCGAGUGGAAUUCCUGGUGUAGCGGUGAAAUGCGCAGAUAUCAGGAGGAACACCAGUAGCGAAGGCGGCACUCUGGGCCGGUACUGACGCUGAGGAGCGAAAGCGUGGGGAGCGAACAGG
rnacentral:rRNA from 1 species